rnacentral:rRNA from 1 species
CUACAGGCUUAACACAUGCAAGUCGAGGGGCAGCAUGGUCUUAGCUUGCUAAGGCCGAUGGCGACCGGCGCACGGGUGAGUAACACGUAUCCAACCUGCCGUCUACUCUUGGACAGCCUUCUGAAAGGAAGAUUAAUACAAGAUGGCAUCAUGAGUCCGCAUGUUCACAUGAUUAAAGGUAUUCCGGUAGACGAUGGGGAUGCGUUCCAUUAGAUAGUAGGCGGGGUAACGGCCCACCUAGUCUUCGAUGGAUAGGGGUUCUGAGAGGAAGGUCCCCCACAUUGGAACUGAGACACGGUCCAAACUCCUACGGGAGGCAGCAGUGAGGAAUAUUGGUCAAUGGGCGAGAGCCUGAACCAGCCAAGUAGCGUGAAGGAUGACUGCCCUAUGGGUUGUAAACUUCUUUUAUAAAGGAAUAAAGUCGGGUAUGGAUACCCGUUUGCAUGUACUUUAUGAAUAAGGAUCGGCUAACUCCGUGCCAGCAGCCGCGGUAAUACGGAGGAUCCGAGCGUUAUCCGGAUUUAUUGGGUUUAAAGGGAGCGUAGAUGGAUGUUUAAGUCAGUUGUGAAAGUUUGCGGCUCAACCGUAAAAUUGCAGUUGAUACUGGAUAUCUUGAGUGCAGUUGAGGCAGGCGGAAUUCGUGGUGUAGCGGUGAAAUGCUUAGAUAUCACGAAGAACUCCGAUUGCGAAGGCAGCCUGCUAAGCUGCAACUGGCAUUGAGGCUCGAAAGUGUGGGUAUCAAACAGGAUUAGAUACCCUGGUAGUCCACACGGUAAACGAUGAAUACUCGCUGUUUGCGAUAUACUGCAAGCGGCCAAGCGAAAGCGUUAAGUAUUCCACCUGGGGAGUACGCCGGCAACGGUGAAACUCAAAGGAAUUGACGGGGGCCCGCACAAGCGGAGGAACAUGUGGUUUAAUUCGAUGAUACGCGAGGAACCUUACCCGGGCUUAAAUUGCAGAUGAAUUACGGUGAAAGCCGUAAGCCGCAAGGCAUCUGUGAAGGUGCUGCAUGGUUGUCGUCAGCUCGUGCCGUGAGGUGUCGGCUUAAGUGCCAUAACGAGCGCAACCCUUGUUGUCAGUUACUAACAGGUUCCGCUGAGGACUCUGACAAGACUGCCAUCGUAAGAUGUGAGGAAGGUGGGGAUGACGUCAAAUCAGCACGGCCCUUACGUCCGGGGCUACACACGUGUUACAAUGGGGGGUACAGAGGGCCGCUACCACGCGAGUGGAUGCCAAUCCCCAAAACCUCUCUCAGUUCGGACUGGAGUCUGCAACCCGACUCCACGAAGCUGGAUUCGCUAGUAAUCGCGCAUCAGCCACGGCGCGGUGAAUACGUUCCCGGGCCUUGUACACACCGCCCGUCAAGCCAUGGGAGCCGGGGGUACCUGAAGUGCGUAACCGCGAGGAGCGCCCUAGGGUAAAACUGGUGACUGGGGCUAAAU